rnacentral:tRNA from 1 species
GUGUGUAUAGCUCAGCAUGAGAGUACUUGCCUAGCAUGCAUGAGGCCCUAGGUUCAAUCCCCAGCACCACACA